rnacentral:rRNA from 1 species
AUGUCUCUCCAUCUAUAUAUCUAUCUCGCUCUCUAUCUAUCUUUCUAUCCCUCUAUCUAUCUAUCUAUCUAUCUAUCUCCCCCCUCUCUAUAUAUAUACCUAUCUAUCUAUCUAUCUAUCUAUCUAUCUAUCUAUCUAUCUAUUCAUCUCCCUAUCUCACUAUCUAUUGAUCCAUCUUUAUCUCUCUAUCUAUCUAUCUCUAUCUAA